UACGUAGGGUGCGGGCGUUAAUCGGAAUUACUGGGCGUAAAGCGUGCGCAGGCGGUUUGCUAAGACAGGUGUGAAAUCCCCGGGCUUAACCUGGGAACUGCGCUUGUUACUGGCAAGCUGGAGUGUGGCAGAGGGGGGUGGAAUUCCACGUGUAGCAGUGAAAUGCGUAGAGAUGUGGAGGAACACCGAUGGCGAAGGCAGCCCCCUGGGCUAACACUGACGCUCAUGCACGAAAGCGUGGGGAGCAAACAGG
rnacentral:rRNA from 1 species